rnacentral:rRNA from 1 species
GAUGAACGCUAGCGGCAGGCUUAAUACAUGCAAGUCGUGGGGCAGCAGGUUUGUAGCAAUACAGAUGCUGGCGACCGGCAAACGGGUGCGGAACACGUACAGAACCUUCCUUGAGCGGGGAAUAGCCCAGAGAAAUUUGGAUUAAUACCCCAUAGUAUAAUGAAGUGGCAUCACUUUAUUAUUAAAGAUUUAUCACUCGAAGAUGGCUGUGCGGCUGAUUAGGUAGUUGGCGGGGUAAAGGCCCACCAAGCCUGCGAUCAGUAACUGGUGUGAGAGCACGACCAGUCACACGGGCACUGAGACACGGGCCCGACUCCUACGGGAGGCAGCAGUAAGGAAUAUUGGUCAAUGGAGGCAACUCUGAACCAGCCAUGCCGCGUGGAGGAUGAAGGUCCUCUGGAUUGUAAACUUCUUUUAUAUGGGACGAAAAAAGGCUUUUCUAAGUCGUCUGACGGUACCAUAUGAAUAAGCACCGGCUAACUCCGUGCCAGCAGCCGCGGUAA